UACAGAGGUCUCAAGCGUUGUUCGGAAUCACUGGGCGUAAAGGGUGCGUAGGUGGCGUGGCAAGUCAGAUGUGAAAGCCCGGGGCUCAACCUCGGAAUUGCAUCCGAUACUGCCAUGCUCGAGUACUGAAGGGGUGGCUAGAAUUCUCGGUGUAGCAGUGAAAUGCGUAGAUAUCGAGAGGAAUACCAAAGGCGUAGGCGGGCCACUGGGCAGUUACUGACACUGAGGCACGAAGGCCAGGGGAGCAAACGGG
rnacentral:rRNA from 1 species